rnacentral:rRNA from 1 species
GCUCAGAACGAACGCUGGCGGCGUGCCUAACACAUGCAAGUCGAACGAGAAGUACGUAGCAAUACGUAUUGUAAAGUGGCGCACGGGUGAGUAACACGUGGGUAAUCUGCCCUUGAGUUUGGGAUAACCCCGCGAAAGCGGGGCUAAUACCGAAUAAGACCACGGGGACCAAAGUCCCUGAGGUAAAAGGUGGCCUCUAUUUAUAAGCUACCACUUGAGGAUGAGCCCGCGGCCCAUUAGCUAGUUGGCAGGGUAACGGCCUACCAAGGCAAUGAUGGGUAGCUGGUCUGAGAGGACGAUCAGCCACACUGGAACUGAGACACGGUCCAGACUCCUACGGGAGGCAGCAGUGGGGAAUAUUGCGCAAUGGGCGAAAGCCUGACGCAGCAACGCCGCGUGGGGGAUGAAGGUUCUCGGAUUGUAAACCCCUUUCGAUCGGAACGAAUCCCCUCCUGGUAAAUAAUCAGGAGGAUCGACGGUACCGAGAGAAGAAGCCACGGCUAACUCUGUGCCAGCAGCCGCGGUAAGACAGAGGUGGCGAGCGUUGUUCGGAUUUAUUGGGCGUAAAGCGAACGCAGGUGGUUUGGUAAGUCAGGGGUGAAAGACCACAGCUUAACUGUGGCAUUGCCUUUGAUACUGCCUUUCUUGAGUAGAGUAGGGGGAAGCGGAAUUCCGAGUGUAGAGGUGAAAUUCGUAGAUAUUCGGAGGAACACCGGUGGCGAAGGCGGCUUCCUGGACUCUAACUGACACUCAUGUUCGAAAGCGUGGGGAGCAAACAGGAUUAGAUACCCUGGUAGUCCACGCCCUAAACGAUGGGCACUAGGUGUGGGAGGUAUCGACCCCUUCCGUGCCGCAGCUAACGCAUUAAGUGCCCCGCCUGGGGAGUACGGCCGCCAGGUUGAAACU